GGUUGUGGCUCAGUGGGCAGAGCGCUUGCCUAGCAUGCAUGAGACACUGAGUUUGAUCCCCAGUACCA
rnacentral:tRNA from 1 species